AUACAUCAAAAUAAAAAGUUUUUACAGGGAAAGAAAAUCCAUGGCUAGCAAAUGUAUUAAAAAACUUAUGGUAGUGGUGGAGUCGCUUAUUCUUAUUCUCCUAAAAGUUCAAGCAAAUUACCAUGCCCAUAUUUCUUUCCGUCCCUCUCCACCUCCCAUCCUACUUCCUCAUUUCUCCGAACUUGAUAAAGCUUAUUCUAACGAUCUUGCCUCUACCUAUUUGUCUCCCUCUUCAUUGCCCAUCCCCUAUCGUCAGUACUCCUUUAAACUUGAUGAAGUUAAAAAAAAAUGGCGUAAAUGCAUUCCAGAUUUAAUUGAAUCUUGUGAAGAAAAAAACCUACCAUCCAAAUAUCUGUUUGAAAUUUGUAUCAUUGAAGGUCAUUGGACAUGUGUCAGAGUGAAUGGCCUAAGACAUACUAAAACGUCUUACCAGUGCAUAGCAGACUGCAUAAACAAUCGAAGCGCUCGAGUCGCUCUUGCGCCUUGUUACUUAGAAUGUUGUGAUAAACAUUUUAAGGAGCACUCAGAAUGAUGCCGUUUAUACGCAGAAUUCCUAGCCUAAGAUUCAUGUGGAGGCUUCUUAAGGAAUGCACAGGGGCAAGACUUCGUAGAUAAUAGUUCUCAAUUGUACCUCGUUUCAAAUAAUAUUUUUAUGAGUUGCAGAAUAAUGUUAAUUAAGGACGUUUUACCACUUGAUUUGAUACCAUUUUGUUUUUAAGUUUCUAUAUUGGACCAUUUUGGACCCAAAACUAUGUCAUUUGGGAGUUGAGUUUUAUAUGGGAUUUGUAUAUCUUGUUUUAUGGCUGGAGAAUUUAGAGUUAUCAGUUGAUGUAUUGAGACCCAAAAAAUAAUAUGCUUUUGUAGACAACAUUUUAUAUAAAUACUUGUUAUUCUUACUAAA